UUUGCCAUCUGGACCUGUCCCCUCUCCCAGCACUGCAGCCCCGCUGGACAACGACACACCCCUCGGCUCCUCAGCCUGGGCAGCCCUCUCCCUUCUCCAUUCCCCAACUUUUUCCUCCGCCAUUCCCACCCUGGAGUUCUAUUCACCCCUCAAGCCUCUGCCUCGGCCACGUCUUCUGAGAAGCUCCACUCUGCUCCUAUUCAACAAAGAGAGAGAGAGAGAGAGAUCUGCUUUGAGACACUAAAUUCUUUAUCAAGCCCAGAUCCAAUCGUGCAGCAUGAGGCUCUGCACAUGGGUGACUACCUGGAUACAGACACUUGAUAUCAUGCAUUAAAGACUCUUGACUCUUAGAAACCCCUAUGGUUACUCCACAGGGUAAGCACCACCCCCGCCACCCUUCCCUGCCCACUGAAUGUGGCUAAAAGGCUAGACAGGCACACAAAGGAGCUACUGAGGCCUCUGAGAAUUGACCAGUAGCAGGUAGAAGGGGGUUGAAGACCAGAAUUUGAAGUGCCACCAAGGUUGCGGUGAGUUUGCCAUGUCCCUGACCCUGGUAUCCCCAGCCUGGACUAAAUACAACUCGAUAUCCAGAGGCGAGCAAGAGUGUGGGAGCAUGCCCGGGGCCCACACAGGCCAUGGAGUGCUACAUAGUGGACAGAUCUGAAGAGUGGACAAAGGCUUGGAAAACGGCACCAAAACCCACAGCAGAAUGGUAGGGACUGAGAACCUGAACCCAAGCUGGUGGAGUGCCUGCCACAACCAAGCUACCAACAACUCUCCAGAGGACUGAAUCAGGAACCACAGCUUCCUAACGUAAUAUUCAGAAUGUUCAGGACCAAUCCAGAACCACUCAGCAUACAAAGAAGGUGAAUAUCCUCAACUCGCAUGGGAAAAGAUGAUCAACAUCUUAUCUGAGCUAACAGAGACAUUGGAAUUAGCUGACAGACUCCACAGCAGCUAUUACAAAAAACACUCCAAGAAGUAAGGAGGGGUAUUCUUAACAUAAAGGGAAUGAUGAGAAGUCUCAGGAAAGAAACAGAAGGUAUAAAGGAGAACCAAAUGGAAAACUUCGAACUAAACAUACAGUAACUGAAAUUGUAAAAACCCACUAGAUAGGCUCAACGGCAGAAUGAAGAUGACAAAGGAAAGAGGCAGUGAACACGGAGAGAACCCUGGGCUGCACACCCUUCCUGACAAGCACAUUCUGGACCUAGGUUCCCUCUCAGUGUGUAUCACCAGCUGACCUCGAAGGAUGGCACCAGCCUACAGACGGGCCGUCCAUCUGUAGAAGGGAAGGGAUUCUUUCUUGUGAGAAUGAGGAACAUGAAACAUAACCGAAGGGGACUAGAAAUGACGAAGGCAGAGCAGACGGGCCUCCGCUGGGCUGACGCUUGUCAGCAGUAGGCUGAGCAUCAGGUUAUGUGGGAAAGGAGGUGGGAGAAUUUAGGGAGUUCGCAAUAUCGGAGCCCCAAGUUUUUCCGUGGUUCUUCAUCCUCUGUAAGGAGAAAGGUGUCAUGGGCAUGUAGAAAGCACUCCAGGUUAGGUAAGAUGUUUGUUUUUAAACUGUACAGGGUAAGAAACUGCUAAGAGAAUAGCCAUGUGUGAAAGAUGCAGCCGCACUGCCCAGAAAGGCAUGGCGCGUGGUAAGAAGGACUUCACAAGAGACAGCCCCAAAGAGUUGACUCCUACUCGGCUCUCUAUAUAAAGCUCAAACAGCCAGAGACCAAGGGAAGGGCCGAAGCAGCUCCCUCAAUGUGCAAAGCCAGAAUGCAGGCAAGAUCAAGGGCAACAUCCUGGCUCGUUUCCAGGGGCUGUGGCACGACCCACCCCCUGCGACAUUUCCUGUGGAUCCUUCCUCGGGUGGUCGUCCCUUUGAGAUGCACAUUGUCGGCUGCCAUCAUCUGCCUGGCCCUGCAGGAGCACAGCCAUGGGACUAAGAUAAGUACAGAAAGUCCAAGCCAGAUGGGCAGAUGGAAGUGGGCUACUCACUGGAGCUCAACAAAGCCUUGCGAGGUGCCCGCUGAUGCAGGUGGCACUCGUCCACACAGCCUGCACAGGCUGGAGCAGAGGCCAACGCACAGAGCAGAACCUGGUCCCCUGCCUGAUGACAACUUAGGACCACUGACUCUUCAAAACGGAUCCCGGUUCCAGGAAUUCCAUGUCAUGUCCUUAAAACAAGGUCACUGGGGCUGGGUGCGGUGGCUCACGCCUGUAAUCCAGAACUUUGGGAGGCCGAGGCAGGUGGAUCAUUUGAGGUCAGGAGUUCGAGACCAGUCUGGCCAACAUAGUGAAACCCCAUCUCUACUAAAAAUACAAAAAUUAGCUGGGCAUGAUGGUGGGUGCCUGUAAUCCCAGCUACUCGGGAGGCUGAGGCAGGAGAAUCACUUGAACCUGGGAGGCGGAGGUUGCAGUGAGCCAAUAUUGCACCACUGCACUUCAGCAUAGGUGACAGAGCAAGACUGUCACAAACAAACAAACAAGGUCAUUGGGUCUCUGCUUAAGUAUCAAAUAUAAAGACUCUCUUCCCCCAAAGAACAGUGAGUGCUUGGCCAUAAAUCAGCCCUGAUCAGCUGAAACCAGGCAUGUGUGGUAGCCCCAGCCUCC
rnacentral:lncRNA from 1 species